rnacentral:tRNA from 1 species
CAAAUUAUAAUGAAAUAUUUUUUAUUUACAAUAAAUAAAUUAGUUGUUUAAUUCAACUUAAUUUGA